AUGCACAGAAGACCAGACAAGCACCUUCAUCUCUCAAGGAGAGUCGUUUCAGUGGAAUCACAUGGAACGCUGAGAGUGUCCAUAGAAGCAUAUGGAAAAUCUCGUCGCUGUAUUGCUCGAGAAGGUCACAUCAAAUUCCCUGUUCAGCAGUGCCAAACAAGAAGGAUUGAGUGUCAAGUUGGCGACUCCACGGUGGAGGUUGCUGUAGGCUGGUCGUUGCUUGUGAAGGAAAAAGCACUCUUGACCGUGAUGAGGCAGUCCGGGAUGGAGAUGGAGAUGGAGAUGGAUUCUGAUUCUGAUUCUGACUCUGGCUCCGGCUCUGGUUCCGGCCAUGAGAUGGACGAGAGGGAUUCCAGCAAGGAGCGAGUGAGGGAUGCCAGCGGCAAGGAGAUUGUGCAGAUGGCCAAUGACUUGGUUGAUGUUCUUUCCGGACACCUUGGGAUGCUUAAGAGGGAGAUCUCGUUCCUGAGGACAGAGGUCAAGUCCCGGGGAUUGGCUGGAAACAGGGCUUGUCAAGAGCAAAUCAUGUCUAACCUAGGGCCCCUCGAUGAAAAUCUUCUCAAGAAGGUGAAUUUGCCUUACCUAGGUUCCAACACUGAGGAGGUGAUGGAUUUUCUGCUGGUCGAAACGCAGCAGUUGCUCUACCGCUUCAACUCUCUCGCAUCCAUUCUACAAAAAGUCAGAAUCCCCAUAUCUUCCGACAAGAUUGAUAAGCUGCGUCUCAUAUCCAAUGCACUUGUGGGCAUCUCGGAGCUUAUUAUCAAGAGGCACAAAUCUGUUGCUGCUGACAAGCAAGAUGGUGAAGAUCGUUUGGACUGUGCCGGCUGGGAGGCUACAUGGGGAAGCUCGACGGGAAGACAUGGUUGCUUUGACGACAUAACAACAUUGAGUCCUAUGCAGUUUACGGCUUCCACGCCUGGAAGCUUCCCAUCCUCGUCCGUGGCUGGUCCUGCCUUGGAGAUCUACUCAAUCAAGCUCAUUAAUCUGAAUCCUAAUCUGAGUUGGCCCAUUGAUGUCUAUGGCGUGGUCGCUGCACGGGAUGAUUUUGACCACAACCUCAACAUUCUCUUCUGCCGGUCAAGUGCAGACUGCCAAAGAAUUAACCAAGAGGACCCUUUUUUGCACUUGAUUGGCCCGUCUCGUGCAAUUGUAGCUGAAGAACCUGUGAUGUUUCAAAUUGAACUGAAAUUGAAGUAUGGAGCAAAUUUCAAAGAUACAGCAUUGUUGACUUCCAACCAAAGUUAUCGCCCCAUCAUGCCAUAUGAUACCAUGCAGAUCUAUAACCGCUGUUGUACAGCAGAGAUAAGCCUUGGGCGAGUUGAUCCAGCAAUCCAGGCCACAAUUGUAGGUGUUUGUGUGACUAAAGGGGAGUGGCCUUUUAAGUAUGGAUGUAAAGUUUCUUGCUUGUUUUCUCCUGCUGAUGCAACGGAGGGAUGCGCGGCAGAAGUCGUUUUGCUUGACCGCCGUGCUAAAAGGAUGCGUGCGGGAUCAGAUGGGUAUCUUUCUUUGUCAAGAAAUGUCGUGUCAGUGGGAUUGCAGGGCACACUCCGAGUCGUCACAGAAGCAUACUCAGAGUCUGGACUCAAUAUUGUUCGAAAAUAUCACGCUGAAUUUCCUAUCCAGCAGUGUCAGAUAGAUAGUUGUGAGUGCUCAGUUGACGGCUCCACAUUGAAGAUAGUUGUUGCUUGGUCUCGCCUUGCCAUUGACAAGGAUGAUCUUGUAAACGAUGGUUAUUGA
rnacentral:rRNA from 1 species